AACGAACGCUGGCGGCAUGCCUAACACAUGCAAGUCGAACGAGACCUUCGGGUCUAGUGGCGCCCGGGUGCGUAACGCGUGGGAAUCUGCCCUCUGGUUCGGAAUAACUCAGGGAAACUUGAGCUAAUACCGGCUAAUAACUUAGGUCCAAAGAUUUAUCGCCUGAGGAUGAGCCAGCGUUGGGUUUGCUUGUUGGUGUGGUAAAAGCUCACCAAGGCGACGAUCCGUAGCUGGUCUGAGAGGAUGAUCAGCCACACUGGGACUGAGACACGGCCCAGACUCCUACGGGAGGCAGCAGUGGGGAAUAUUGGACAAUGGGCGAAAGCCUGAUCCAGCACUGCCGCGUGAGUGAUGAAGGCCUUAGGGUUGUAAAGCUCUUUUACCCGGGAUGAUAAUGACAGUACCGGGAGAAUAAGCCCCGGCUAACUCCGUGCCAGCCGCCGCAGUAAUAC
rnacentral:rRNA from 1 species